GUACCAAGGUUAGUCCAACAAAAGAUUAUCGGUGAAAGCCUGGACUCACGGGUUCAGAAUUUUCAGCAGACACAAACACAAACUUCUAGGAUUGAGCAUAAAGAACUGUCCCAACCUUACAGUGAGAAAAAAUGUCUUAGAGACAAGGACAAACAACAAAAACAGGUCUCCUCUAACACUGACGAUUCAAAGCAAGAGAUAACACAAAAACAAUCUUCAUUUUCCUCUGUGAGAGAAUCCCAGCAGGAUGGAGAAAAAUGUGCCAUAAAUAUAUUGGAAUUCUUGAGAAAACGUGAAGAACUACAGCAGAUUUUGUCUAGGGUAAAACAGUUUGAAGCAGAUUCAAAUAAAAGUGGCCUUAAAACAUUUCAGACACUGUUAAAUAUUGCUCCGGUGUGGCUGAUAAGUGAGGAGAAAAGAGAAUAUGGAGUUCGUGUUGCCAUGGAGAAUAAUUUAGAAAAAGUCAAAGAAGAAAUAAUACAUAUUAAAACUCAAGCGGAGGAGAUGCUCGUUCACUGUGAACACGUAAUUCGAACAGCCAUGAUGGCUUCCCAAACAGGAAAGCAGAAAGAUAAACCUACCAAUCUUAAUGAAAUGCCACUGAAAGUGUCUAAUGUUAAUCUCAGCUCUCAUAAAGGCACUGAACAGAAAGAAAGUAAAUUUGUAGAAGAAAAAUUAGCAACCCGCCAAGUAGCAACCCAUUCUGAGGCAGCAACUCAUAAUCCUGCUAAAACAUAUCAGGAGGCUAAGGGGGACGAUAGUAAGAUGGCUCCUCCCUCUUUGAAAACUCGCCCACCAUCACCAACUUUCAUCACCAUAGAAUCCACUGCCCGCCGAGCAGAAACAUCCACUAAGAGUGAGCUUUCUCAGUCCCCUAAAAAUAACAGUUGUGUUGAACCUCUACCCAGAAGACCCAUGGAGCAUACAUCUAGGCUUCCCAGAACAAGUAC
rnacentral:lncRNA from 1 species